CGCCUCUUGCUAAAAAACAUGUAUAAGAGGUCCAGCCUGCCCAGUGACUAUAUGUUCAACGGCCGCGGUAUUCUGACCGUGCAAAGGUAGCGUAAUCACUUGUCUUUUAAAUAAAGACYGGUAUGAACGGCACCACGAAGGUUCAACUGUCUCCUGCAUCCAAUCCAUUAAACUGACCUCCCCGUGCAGAGGCGGGGAUACAACCAUAAGACGAGAAGACCCUAUGGAGCUUUAAACUAAAGGCAACUGCCAACUUCAACCUAACCCAUAAGGAAAUAACAAUUAAACAAGCAGAAACUGACCUAAAGUUUUCGGUCGGGGCGACCACGGAGAAUAAAAAAUCCUCCUUGAAGAAUAGGGCCUACCACCCUUAACCAAGAACCACCAUUCUAAGUAACAAAAUUUAUGACUAUAAUUGAUCCAGUCCUACUGAUCAACGAACCAAGUUACCCUAGGGAUAACAGCGCAAUCCAUUUCAAAAGUUCCUAUCGACAAAUGGGUUUACGACCUCGAUGUUGGAUCAGGGCAUCCCAGUGGUGCAGCCGCUACUAAAGGUUCGUUUGUUCAACGAUUAAAGCCCUA
rnacentral:rRNA from 1 species